CAAUAGCGUAUAUUAAAGUUGUUGCAGUUAAAAAGCUCGUAGUUGGAUUUCUGGCAGAGUGUCCUUUGGCCAGCAUGACGUUUGGUCCAGAGCGCUCUACCAUCCUUCUGUUAACCUUUACAGGAUUCGUUUUCUGCAUUGGGGCUCAGAUAUUUUACCUUGAGAAAAUUAGAGUGUUUCAGGCAGGCUUUCGCCGGAAUACAUUAGCAUGGAAUAAUAGAAUAGGACUUUGGUUCUAUUUUGUUGGUUUCUAGGACCGAAGUAAUGAUUAAUAGGGACAGUUGGGGGCAUUAGUAUUUAAUUGUCAGAGGUGAAAUUCUUGGAUUAUCGGAAGAUGAACUUCUGCGAAAGCAUCUGCCAAGGAUGUUUUCAUUGAUCAAGAACGAAAGUUAGGGGAUCGAAGAUGAUCAGAUACCAU
rnacentral:rRNA from 1 species